UGGGGAAUAUUGGACAAUGGGCGAAAGCCUGAUCCAGCAAUGCCGCGUGAGUGAUGAAGGCCCUAGGGUUGUAAAGCUCUUUUACCCGGGAUGAUAAUGACAGUACCGGGAGAAUAAGCUCCGGCUAACUUCGUGCC
rnacentral:rRNA from 1 species